rnacentral:rRNA from 1 species
GAUUAAGUGGAAUAAGGGCAUUUGGUGGAUGCCUUGGCAUGCACAGGCGAUGAAGGACGUGAUACGCUGCGAUAAGCCGUGGGGAGCUGCGAAUAAGCUUUGAUCCAUGGAUUUCCGAAUGGGGAAACCCACCUUAAAUGCUUGGGAAAUCUGAACUGUCUUGACCAGCCUUUUGACUUCGAGUGAUCGAGGGAAAAGGGCUCGAAGCCGUUUGGCUUCGCAAGGCCAAGGGCCGUCGCUGCUGAUGCAGCGUGGGUUCUGCGGUCUUUGAAGGGGUUGGGACGUGUCAGGUUUCCAAGCAUUGUUAAUAAGGUAUCUUAUCCUGAAUACAUAGGGGUAAGAAGCGAACUCGGGGAACUGAAACAUCUAAGUACCCGAAGGAAAGGACAUCAACCGAGACUCCGCAAGUAGUGGCGAGCGAACGCGGACCAGGCCAGUGGCAAUGAGGAAUAAAGCGGAACAAGUUGGAAAGCUUGGCCAUAGUGGGUGACAGCCCCGUACGCGUAGAACACUCAUUGUCCUAGAGUAGGGCGGGACACGUGAAAUCCUGUUCGAACAUGGGGAGACCACUCUCCAAGCCUAAGUACUCGUGCAUGACCGAUAGCGAACAAGUACCGUGAGGGAAAGGUGAAAAGCACCCCGACAAGGGGAGUGAAAUAGAACCUGAAACCGGAUGCCUACAAACAGUAGGAGGGCGAAAGCCUGACUGCGUACCUUUUGUAUAAUGGGUCAACGACUUAGUGUAACUAGCAAGCUUAAGCCGGUAGGUGUAGGCGCAGCGAAAGCGAGUGUUAAUAGCGCGAUUGAGUUAGUUGCAUUAGACCCGAAACCGAGUGAUCUAGCCAUGAGCAGGUUGAAGGUUGGGUAACACCAACUGGAGGACCGAACCCGCAUCUGUUGCAAUAGAUUG